CCUACGGGAGGCAGCAGUGAGGAAUAUUGGUCAAUGGCCGUAAGCCUGAACCAGCCAAGUCGCGUGAGGGAUGAAGGUUCUAUGGAUUGUAAACUUCUUUUAUAAGGGAAUAAAGUGAGGCACGUGUCCCGUUUUGUAUGUACUUUAUGAAUAAGGAUCGGCUAACUCCGUGCCAGCAGCCGCGGUAAUACGGAGGAUGCGAGCGUUAUCCGGAUUUAUUGGGUUUAAAGGGUGCGUAGGCGGGCUGUUAAGUCAGCGGUAAAAGCCCGGGGCUCAACCCCGGCGAGCCGUUGAAACUGGCUGUCUUGAGAUGUCGAGAGGUAUGCGGAAUGCGCAGUGUAGCGGUGAAAUGCUUAGAUAUUGCGCAGAACUCCGAUUGCGAAGGCAGCAUACCGGCGGCGAUCUGACGCUGAGGCACGAAAGCGUGGGUAUCGAACAGGAUUAGAUACCCUAGUAGUC
rnacentral:rRNA from 1 species